AUUCAUUUAAAUUGUUUGCUUUCUAAUUUUGUAUCUAAAUUUACCCUUUAUAAACAUGUCUAAAAACUAGUACACGUCUGGGUUUUUUAAUAUUUUACUGAAAUUAAGACAAAUAUAUAACACUCGGUAAACAUACUGUGUAUUGUCAUGAAAGCCGAACAGUUUCUAUCGGCUUAAAGUCCCAUUUGAACAUCGCCAUCAACUUGCAUAAGUACAUUUCGUUAGCCUCACGCAUAUGCACUUGGUAUAGAUGGAUGUUUGCUUUAACAUUCAAUCAAUUUGAUGGAUAGAUAUUUAAUGACCCUUUAAAUUAUAUCUCGAAAUCCAACAGAAAGCUGAUAUUUAAAACGUUUAAUACUGUCGAAUUAGGAUUUUCAUGGACCUAGUAUGUUUGUAUUUAAGUCUUUGUUCCCAAAAGCACAAUUUUCAUAUAAAUACAAUCUCAUGAGAGUAGCGAUACUGCAACAGGAAUUGCGGCUUUCGUCCGUCCCGCCAUUUGAUAAGUUCGCAGACCAAAACUUAAAAAAAAAAAAAAAAAAAACUUAUAAAAGACAAACUUCUGUAGGAUUGUGUCCAUUGUCUUUUUCUUUAUUGCAUGAAACUACAUGGAAUAUACGACGUAAGCUUUUAACAGACCACAUUUGACAGAAUUACUGACCUUAUUUAAUUCAGAUAGGAGUAGGGAGUUUGACACAUACUGAUUAUCAUAACAAUAAAUGCAGAUAUUAUCAAUAGACUUAACUAUGUCCUCUGUGUACAACUUUUUUUUUUUAACUUUUAUUGCAAAUUCAAAACGUUUAAUCAACAAAGACAUUUCAUUUUAUGAUUGUUGAUCGAAAACUUUGGCUAUACUAAUCAACUGUCUGGUUAUGGUGUCACAGUUUACGGAUUGUGACUUUGUGAAACAAACACAACACAACAUAUCAUGAUGCUCGUGUUUAAAAUAUGAGAUGAUAGAGUGAUGAUGGUUUUCUUUUACUUCAUAUACUUCCUUUUCGUUAAAUGAACUUUGUAAUAAAAGUUGUUAAAUGAUUUGGUGUAUUAAAUCUUUCUUUUUGAAUCUCUUUAUAAUAUCUUCAUUCCAGGUUCGUUUACUUUUUCUUCCUUUGCAUGGUGCAAUUGUUGAAUUUCUAACGAAGGUGUCCUGGUUAAGGUAACUAUAUACAAAACAGCUUACUACAAAUUGCAAAACGGGAAGUAAAUACUUCAGUAGGAGUAACUUCCUGAAGUUUUCGAUAAAAUAAAAGACUUUUACUCUAACCCAUGACUCAGCAGAAUACAUUUUUUAAAUGUAUUUUUAAAUCAAUAUUUAACUUAGAAUGGUUUUUAUUUUAAAUGAAUGAUUAAUGUGCAGUAAUAACAGAUCUAUCAGUAUAAUAAAAUGCAGAAUACAAAUGUAUCUGAGAUAGCGCAGCCCAAAUGAUAUUGUCAACAUUGGCUUUGCUACAGUUGGCAACCUUUUCUCGGCGUAACAAUCUUUUUAUCACCCUCUCAGUUAUUUGUUAUUUAUAGAAUACCAUUUUUCAUGCAACCCGAUUCCAGAUGUGGAUCGAAAUUGUGGAAUCUAUGACAUAUACAUUGCGUGUGAAUGUGUUUUAGAUUUUGUUGAUUCAAUAGGUAACUGAUAGUUGUCUCAUUGGCAAUCAAACAACAUCUUCUUAGUUAUGUAUUUUUGAAAUAAUAAUUUUGAAUUUCAAAUGGUAUGAAGUAUGUUAGAAGUUUAAGCUGAUCCAGCAUUUAUGAAAAUGACAAAUAAACGAAAAAGUUCCAAGGAAUGGGCCUCUGAAUAUAUAUCUACAAGCUUCAUUUCAUUCCAUAAUUACACUCUCAAGAUAUAAAUUUGAUUAGCUCGCCAUUUUUGUAUUAACUUUAUUUUUAGAUGAUUACAUUACAGAUGAAGUGUAUAACUUGAACAGAUAAUCUCAGCACGUAAAAACAAAGUUUAAGGAUAAAAUUACAUAAACACCUCAAUAGUUUUAUCAUUUACAGUGAUUUUGAUUUUGAUUUCUUUUUUGUAUUGUACAAUUAGUGUUCUUGAUAAUGUGUAUUGAUAACAAUAAUUCUUAUUUGUCAACGCAUUGCUGUGUAGUUAUUGCUGUCAAUCUUAUUUGUCUUGCAAAUUCUUUUUAUAGGGCAAACACUAUUAUCAAUCACUGUCUAAAUUCAUAAAGAGAAUGUGAUUUAUAAGGUCUGUAGUAUCCAGGCUUCACCUUUUUUAUCCUUCGAACAAUAUGUGGUUAUACGAUUAUUUUUUCGGGCACCUUAAAUUUUGAUUUCAUAGUUACUUUAUUAGUGAAUACUUUAAUUUUGGAUGUAGCGCGUCCUCUGAUUGGCUGAGGUUAAUUUGUUAUGAGCCCAUAGACAUAAUUUAGUCAUGUGACCGUGACGUCAUCAACGUUUUUUCAUGGUUUUCUACGGUUUAAGAUGGAAUUAGAAUUAAAUUAUAAGAAAUGACUGUAAUAUUUUUUUCUGUCUAUUUGAAAUAACAUAAAAAAUGUGGUGCACACUGUUAAAUAACCCGCUACGCGCGUUAUUCAGUGUGCACCAAAUUUUUAAUGUUAUUUCUUCAUACACAGAAAAAAUAUUACAGUCAUUCCUUAAUUGAAAUGACAUACAUUAGUGAACACAGUUUAAUUUGAAAUGGUUAAAUUAAUCAGCAGCCAUGGCGUUGUCAGUUUAUUUUCGAUUUAUGAAUUUGACUGUCCCUCUGGUAUCUUUCGCCCUUUUGUUUUACUACAUGUAGCAUGUUUGGCGACCGAUUACGUUAGGCUGGAAUAAAAUGAUAAUUUGGUUAAGAUUUUGCAUCUUGAGACAAUAAAGCAUGUUUGUAUACAUGUAAUGUCAUGGCAUCACCGACUAAUUUCCUUAUACGCACGUGGAAUUUAAUUUUAUAGUUUUUGUUAUAAGUUAUAUUACAUAUUUUCUUUUGUAAUAUGUGAAACAUUGUCAUUCAUAACAUGACACAAUAUUUGUAUAACUGAGUAAAAAUAGCGCGAAGGUUUCAUUAUGAGCAGAUAUGAGCAAAUUUUAUCACAAAAGCUUGUUGUAUUGUCCGAAUAAUUGUUGUGUAUAUAAUACCCUUGCCAUAAAUAAAAAUUAAACAUGA
rnacentral:lncRNA from 1 species